AGAGUUUGAUCCUGGCUCAGGACGAACGCUGGCGGCGUGCCUAAUACAUGCAAGUCGAGCGAGCUUGCCUAGAUGAUUUUAGUGCUUGCACUAAAUGAAACUAGAUACAAGCGAGCGGCGGACGGGUGAGUAACACGUGAGUAACCUGCCCAAGAGACUGGGAUAACACCUGGAAACAGAUGCUAAUACCGGAUAACAACACUAGACGCAUGUCUAGAGUUUGAAAGAUGGUUCUGCUAUCACUCUUGGAUGGACCUGCGGUGCAUUAGCUAGUUGGUAAGGUAACGGCUUACCAAGGCAAUGAUGCAUAGCCGAGUUGAGAGACUGAUCGGCCACAUUGGGACUGAGACACGGCCCAAACUCCUACGGGAGGCAGCAGUAGGGAAUCUUCCACAAUGGACGAAAGUCUGAUGGAGCAACGCCGCGUGAGUGAAGAAGGGUUUCGGCUCGUAAAGCUCUGUUGGUAGUGAAGAAAGAUAGAGGUAGUAACUGGCCUUUAUUUGACGGUAAUUACUUAGAAAGUCACGGCUAACUACGUGCCAGCAGCCGCGGUAAUACGUAGGUGGCAAGCGUUGUCCGGAUUUAUUGGGCGUAAAGCGAGUGCAGGCGGUUCAAUAAGUCUGAUGUGAAAGCCUUCGGCUCAACCGGAGAAUUGCAUCAGAAACUGUUGAACUUGAGUGCAGAAGAGGAGAGUGGAACUCCAUGUGUAGCGGUGGAAUGCGUAGAUAUAUGGAAGAACACCAGUGGCGAAGGCGGCUCUCUGGUCUGCAACUGACGCUGAGGCUCGAAAGCAUGGGUAGCGAACAGGAUUAGAUACCCUGGUAGUCCAUGCCGUAAACGAUGAGUGCUAAGUGUUGGGAGGUUUCCGCCUCUCAGUGCUGCAGCU
rnacentral:rRNA from 1 species